rnacentral:rRNA from 1 species
UACAGAGGGUGCAAACGUUUGUUCGGAUUUACUGGGCGUAAAGCGCGUGUAGGCUGCUUCGCAAGUCGGAUGUGAAAGCCCUGGGCUCAACCCAGGAAGUGCAUUCGAAACUGCAGAGCUGGAGUCCUGGAGAGGAAGGCGGAAUUCUCGGUGUAGAGGUGAAAUUCGUAGAUAUCGAGAGGAACACCGGUGGCGAAGGCGGCCUUCUGGACAGUGACUGACGCUGAGACGCGAAAGCGUGGGGAGCAAACAGG